GCUCUCAGAAUGGUGCGGACGGCAGCGUCGUCAAGAGAACCACGCUGCAUGAUUUGUACGAGCGGGAAGGCCAGAGCCCUUGGUACGACAACCUCUGCAGACCCGUGACGGACCUGAUCCCUCUGAUCGAGAGCGGCGAUAGAGGGGUGACGAGCAACCCUGCGAUUUUCCAGAAAGCAAUAUCAUCUUCAAAUGCUUAUAAUGAUCAGUUCAGAGAGGUUGUGCAAUCAGGGAAAGACAUUGAGAGUGCAUAUUGGGAGCUCGUGGUGAAGGAUAUUCAAGAUGCGUGCAAGCUUUUUGAGACAAUAUACGAUCAAACUGAUGGUGGCGAUGGCUAUGUCUCUGUUGAAGUUUCUCCUAGACUGGCAGAUGAUACAGAAGGGACUGUUGAGGCAGCAAAAUGGCUUCAUAAAGUGGUUAA